UGGGGAAUUUUGGACAAUGGGCGCAAGCCUGAUCCAGCCAUGCCGCGUGCGGGAAGAAGGCCUUCGGGUUGUAAACCGCUUUUGUCAGGGAAGAAAUCUUCUGAGUUAAUACCUCGGGAGGAUGACGGUACCUGAAGAAUAAGCACCGGCUAACUACGUGCCAGCAGCCGCGGUAAUACGUAGGGUGCAAGCGUUAAUCGGAAUUACUGGGCGUAAAGCGUGCGCAGGCGGUUUUGUAAGACAGAGGUGAAAUCCCCGGGCUCAACCUGGGAACUGCCUUUGUGACUGCAAGGCUUGAGUGCGGCAGAGGGGGAUGGAAUUCCGCGUGUAGCGUGAAAUGCGUAGAUAUGCGGAGGAACACCGAUGGCGAAGGCCAAUCCCCCGUGGGGCCUGCACUGACGCUCAUGCACGAAAGCGUGGGGAGCAAACAGGAUUAGAUACCCUGGUAGUCCNCGCCCUAAACGAUGUCAACUGGUUGUUGGG
rnacentral:rRNA from 1 species